rnacentral:lncRNA from 1 species
UUUCUCCCCUCCUUCUCUCGCUCCCGUCGCCUCUCCAUCGCGCGCCCCUCUCGCCCCCCUGCUUCCAACCUCGCGGUCGGCUUGAAGACCCAAAUCCGCUCCGCUCACGACACCUCCCUUCUCUCCGCCGACGCCUGCCACCGGGACGACGUCCUCCGUGCCGCCCGGGGCGCCCUCUCCAACUGCCUCUCAGAGACCCACCUCGAUCGCACGGUUCCGGGCCUCACGGCCAAGGCCAGGGGCAAGGUGAGGCGGUCUUCCUUGGUUUUCUCAUAAUUCUUCUCUUAUCACUGGCGUCUUUCUCAGAGCCGAUGGGUUUCUGUAGGUGAGAGACAUUUAUGAUGGUGGUGACUAUCUGGUUCUGGUCACCACCGACCGGCAGAGUGCUUUUGAUCGGGUUCUCGCUUCCAUCCCUUUUAAAGGCCAGGUCUUUCUUCUCUCCUUUUCUAUCUUUCACAUUGUUUCUACUGUUUUCAGUUUGAACUUAAAAUCCCUUCUUUGACUGAUUGAUCUAACAUUUUGAUCCUUUCCAUGCUUAUUGAUCGAUUUCAUUUUGAAAAUUGACUUCUUUCAUUCCCUCGGGUUCAAAUGCAUUAUUUAUUUGAGGUUGGUCCUGUAGGAAUCCUGAAAAAAUAAUUUCUUACAAAUUUGUGAUUGAAUUUAAGGUCAUCUAAGAAUUGAGUCAAAGAUCUUAAUUUUCUUUGCUCUUGUUCAUUUGCUGAACAAAACUUCAUAUGUAUGUUUGGAUAUUAUAUUGCCUGGUUAUCUGUUUUGACUGGUCUGAGGAAGGAAGAAAAUAAUGUCUUUUGCAACUCAGAUGUUUCUGGUGAAGAUGUAUCUUCAAUAUACGUAGACUGUUAGAAAUGCUGAAACAUCAUAACCACGGGGAUGAAUAAGACAACUAUGAUGAAGAAACUUGGGGCAGUCAGCUGAGAAGAAAACUGCAUUGGUUCAAUGCAAGGGCAGAGAAAGAAUUUCUAGUGUUAAUCCUAAUGCAAGAACAGAAGAGGGAUUGUGCUAGUUGAGCCAUGAAGAGCUCACAAUGUCAUUUGAAUUGGAGCAUAUUUGUGCAAGUGAAGCAUUAUGUGAUGUGUUCUGAGGAACCACAUAUCUAGGUGUGACUAUGGUAGUGGAAGGCUUUAAUUCAUUGGAGUACAAUUCUUGAUGGGGUAAUUUCUCUUGGAGCGAAGGUUUUAAUUUUUGGGAGGACAGCAAGUGUCCAGGCCACCCUGUCCCAUUUGUGUGAGAAAAUGGGACUAGGUUGGGGGGAACUCCUUGGAACCUAUCAUGGAGAAAGAAGAAGAAAGAUAAAAGGAAGAAAGGAAAAAAAGAAGAAGAAAAUAAAAAAGGAAAGGAAGGAAAGAAGAAGAAAAAGAAAAGAAAUAAAGGAAGGGAGAAGAAAAAGAAAGAAAGAAAGGGAGGAAAAAAGAAAGGAAGAGAAGAAAAGAAAGAAAGGAAGGAAGAAAAGAAAGAAAGAAAGGAAGGAAAAAAAGAGGAAGAAAACAAAGAAAAAGAAAAAUAAAUGAAUAAAGGAAAAAAAAGAAAGAAGGGGAGAGAGAUGGAAGGUAUCUAUUGGGAUGUUCGAUUGGGAUGGCUACUAGGAUAGGGCGGGACAAAGGGGCAUCCUGUUUCAUGGAGAAACCGAGACAUCCUCAUCCCAUGGAAUUUAAAUCCUUGCUUGGGUGUCCUGGAAGUUGGGAUAUCAUGGUCACGAAGAAUGAUUAGGCAUGAGCUCUACUAAUGUUGCGAGACUAAUGAUGGGAAGAGCUAAUUUUACUUUUGGCUUAGUUUAUAUAUUAUAUACGAUAUUGGCAGGAGUAUAUUGAGUUAAAUUUUUACAAGCUUACCUUUGAAAGGGUAAACAAUCUUUUAGGUAGCAACAUGUGUGUCUCUUCUAGAAUUUUGAGGAGAAAGUUGAUGUGAAGUCAUUUUAUGGCUGAUGACUUUCAUUGGAGUAAAUUUAUAGGCAAUCCUUCAAUGACAAGCAGUGACUAUGCUCUUUUUAUGGUGGAUAGUGGGUUACAUUUUCUGAUUAUUCACCAUAUUGGUCCUCAUAUACCAACUUUUACAUAGAUUUCUAUUCCAUUGAACAAUAAUGGGAAGAAAUAGGAUAUGGCUUUUAGCAAAUGCAGCCAAAGCACAUGAAGUUGGAAGAAACGACUAAGGAUAGUGGUAAGAAUAUGGUGCUUAUACUUUUAGAAGAUGUGGCUUGUGCACUCAAGGUUGGAAGGGGCUAUUAAGGAAUAACUGUGGGCAACUUUAGAGGAUGGUAGUCUGUAAUCUGCCCUAAAUUCUUCUAGUAUAUAGGCAAAAAGUAAUGCACAUUCAGUAACCAAAAAAAAUCUAAUUAGGUUAGAGCAAUCAACAACAAAAUGGCAUCGUGAUUUUUGGUAAAGGAUGAGGUACCAAACAAAAAAUAAACCACACCAAAUUAGGAAAAUGCAAUGGGAACUAUAAAUAGACUAUAAGAAUAAGAAAAUUGUGAACAAUUGAAAUAUAUAAUUGAAAAUAUAAAACAGGAAGAUGAUUAAAAAUAAAAUAAAAAUUCUGAGUAAAAAUAUUUCAUAAAAUACAUUGUAGGAAAACAAAAACUUUAUAUGUAAACUUGAUAUAUGAUACCAAAAACCAAAUAUAAGUGAAAAAAACCAAAACAUCUUCCAUACACAAAAAGUCCAAAACAUAUUUCCUAUUGGUAAUGUAAUGCCCAUUAAAAUUAAAAGUAUAAAUAUAUAAUUAUAUUUUAAAUAAAAAUAUAUAGCUUUUUUUAAAUAAAAGUGAUUUUCAUAAAAGAAAACAUAAAUCUUGUAAAUUAACUUAUUAAAAAAUCAUUUAAUAAAAUAAUUAGAACAAAAUUUAUAAUAGAAUAGAGAACUUUAGAUAUAAAAUUGACUAUAUGAAAUCAAAAUUAGAUAUAACUGGAGAAAACCUGUUUCCUAUCCGAUAGUGCAAUGCACUUUAGAAAUAAAAAAAAUAUGAAUCUGAUUUUUUAAAAAAAUAGCAGAAGAAUGAUUUUCGUAAAGAAAAAGGGUAAAACUUGUAGAAGUUUAGAGAACACUAAAUAAUAAAUUAUAGAAAUUCAAAUACUUUGAUUUGGUCAAGACUUUUUUUAUUAAUUAGAUUUAGGGAAGUCUAGUGGAGGGAGAACUUAGGGAAUUGGUUGAGUAGAGAAAAUUCAGAGAGAGUGGGAGAAAUAAUGUUUAUGCUUUAAGAUCUACUUAGGAAUUCUGUACUUAGGAUUUUGUUUCCAGAAGUACCAAUAUUUGUUCUUAUGAUAUAACAGUUUUAAGUGUUAUCUUGUUAAUAUUCUAUCUAAUGGAAAAUAUGAAAGGCCCAAAGCUGCCCCAUUACUCCUUCUGAUAUAGUAUAGGUCCAUAAAAGUCUCUGAGGAAAAAUCUAGAUUGUAGGGAGACAAUGUUGAGAGAAAUUAAAACCUUAAUUCUAUUCCAUAUGAUAUCUAAACCAAUGUCUCAGGAGUUGGAGUUGGAGAAGAAAUUUAGAACUCUUGACCAGACAAAUCGAUUAGUCUUGAAGAGUAAAGUUUAAGAUUUAUUAAUUUUUUAUAACACUAAAGGUAUACUUCAAAAGGCAUCAAAAUCAUGCAUGCCAAAAGAAAGGAAAUAAAAGCAGUGGGUGCUGUAUAAGGCUUGGUACUGAAAUUUGGUAGAAUUCUUACCUUGCACUCUGCACAUGUUCACAAAUUUUGAAGCAUAUAUGUUAACAAGUAGUGUUUUAACGUUCAUGCAAGCCAGGAAGUGAAUAAUAUGUAUUUCUUUUAUCAUAAUUAAAGUCCACAUUUUAUUUCAAAAAAAAUGAUCAUGCAAAAUAUAUAGAAAUCUCCUUGCUUCUCUUUAAUUGAUACUGAAAAUUUCAUUUCAAUACUCGAAUUUUGUGUGGUAUGCCUCUCACUAAUGGUGCAAUGUAGGGUGCAAGAGGUGUGUGGUGUGCUGUCGCAGGCAACCAAAAAUAAAACCUAUACUUCUAAAAAUAUAUAUGUAGUAGUGCGAGUAAGGAUCGUUCCCACGGAGAGUAUCUAGCCUAGUUUUAUGCAACUUGAACAAGGAUGGAGGGGGGGUUUGAGUAUAAUGAAAAUAAUAAAACAACUAAAGAAGAAUUCAGAUUUAAGUAUUGAAAUCAAUCAAAAGAACAAAUCUUGGUCUAAGUCAACAUCCACCAUCGGAAUNNNNNNNNNNNNNNNNNNNNNNNNNNNNNNNNNNNNNNNNNNNNNNNNNNNNNNNNNNNNNNNNNNNNNNNNNNNNNNNNNNNNNNNNNNNNNNNNNNNNNNNNNNNNNNNNNNNNNNNNNNNNNNNNNNNNNNNNNNNNNNNNNNNNNNNNNNNNNNNNNNNNNNNNNNNNNNNNNNNNNNNNNNNNNNNNNNNNNNNNNNNNNNNNNNNNNNNNNNNNNNNNNNNNNNNNNNNNNNNNNNNNNNNNNNNNNNNNNNNNNNNNNNNNNNNNNNNNNNNNNNNNNNNNNNNNNNNNNNNNNNNNNNNNNNNNNNNNNNNNNNNNNNNNNNNNNNNNNNNNNNNNNNNNNNNNNNNGAGGGAGGGAGAGGGCGGUGACCGGAAUAGAGGCAAGGGAGAGAGGAGAGAGGGCUUUCGAAACCCUCUUGAGACCCCUCUCUCCUUCGUGUGUCGGAAUAGGGGUGGAGCCCUUGUUUCGAAAUGAGAUAGGGGCUUCCACCCCUUUUUAUAUAUUUUUUGAAUUUUUUAAGUGAAUUUGGCAGCCACUGCUGACAUCAUGCUGCCAACUUCACUUAGAAAACUUCAAAAAAGAGAAAAUAAUCAGUGAAGUCAACAGUGGCGGCUAACUUCACUUGAAAAAUUCAAAAAAAUAAAAAGGGGCAAAAGCUCCUGUUUUGUUUCAAAACAGGGGCUCUACCCCUGUUCCGACACAUGGAGGAGAUAGAGCUUUGAAAGCCCUCUCUCCCCCUCCCUUGCCCUUGUUUCGGCCAUUGCCAACCACUCUCUCUCGCCCCCUCUCUUUUGCCCCUCUCUCUCUUCCUCUCUUUCCUGCUCCCCUUCCGUUGAUUUCUUGAUCUGAAGGCUGGAUUCGUCUCGGUCCCUGCCGGUAUGGUUCAGUACGCCCUGAACUGGGCAGUUUGGGACGAUUCUGCCGUUGUUGGACGAAUCAUUUCCUAUGAGCCAUGUGAAGUGGAACCACCUCUAUUCUUUAGGUAUCUUGCAAACAGUAGAGUUUGGCGUUAAUUUGUGGUUUUCAUGAAUCGAACCCUUGUAAUCAGAAAUUCAAUUGCCCUUUCACUUUAAAUAUAGUAAAUUUCAGUAACAGUGGAAGGAGUGCCAAAGUCAAUUGUAGUAUAAAGCUGCCGGCCUUAUAGUAAUGUGGAGAGGCAUAAUCAGUGGAAUUUGGUUCCCUUAUUUUUCAAGAAUUUUUUUUUUUUUGGCCUUCUACUUCUUAUGGGGAAGGAAAAUCCUUCUGAAUGUUAGUACAGAAGGCUUCAAUUCACUAUGUUGGAUGAUGCUAUCUUGAAUACUGACAAAAGAAAUAUGGAGCAAAUAGGCUGCUAAUUUUGAAUUAUACUAUAAAAAGCAUUUGACUUAGAUGGUUUGCUCUAAUUCUUUAUUAUGAAUUUGGGCAUACCGUGAAAGAUGAUUACUGGAGCAGCUUUAGAAGUAUCAUAAUUAUAGUCUGUUAAUGACAACAGUGCUUGCUUUAUUUCUAUUGUAUAUAAAGCUCGCUUGCCAAGUCCAAGCUAAUCAUGUAAUUGGAUCAGCUGUGUGGACCUUCAUCAUCAUGUUUUAGUGGGAGUUGUGCAAAUUAGAGUUCAAGGGUUUAUGAAAUCAGGUCUUUUGGAAGCAAAUUAAUAAGAAACAUGGUUUCUAGGUUUUCUUUUGUUAGGAUUCCUUUUUUUUCUUUUUAUACAGCAAUAUUUUCUUUUUAUCCUUAAAUAGUUCUAGUGUUGGAAGUCCAUCAGGAGUUUCCAUUUUGAUUUAGGAUUCAAAAAUCUACUUGGACUGGCUCUCAUGAUUCUUAAAAAAAUGAGGUUAAAUUUGGGCAUAAGGUUGAUUUUGGGAUUUCUUCUGCUAAAAUUACUACAAGUUAAAUAAGAAAACAAGAUGGAUAAUUAUGAUUGGAUUUACUAUUCAUAUAAUAAAGUUAAAUAAUAUUGUGACUAUUGCUAUUGUUUAUAGCAAAAUUUGAAUGCUGGAAGAUUGCACAACAACAGCAGCCUGGCUUCUUUAACAGUGUAAACACACAAAAUGAUGCGACAACGUUUAAGGUUGUUUUGUGAUGGUUAGAAAAGAAACGCAGUGCAAAAAGGGGUCAGUUUGGAGGCAGUUUCCUGUAUAUUGUUCUGCUUUUUUGGUUUUUUGGGGGCUUAGAUCUGAUUUCAGGUAUUUAGAUUGGUUAUUUGUUUUUACUUGGUACUAAUUGAUGAAGGGCUAGAUUAGAAGUUGAGUGAACAUAUUGCAGAACCGUUAACUUUUAUGGUUCAAUGCUAAUUAAGAGGAAAUUUUGAGUGCUGGCUACAUGAUGGGACCUCCCCAACUUAUAUAUGCAUAUAUGCUUAUAUAUACAUACAUAUGUAUGUAUAUUUGUAUGUAUGUUUAUAUGUAUAUGUAUAGUUUGGUGGGUUUGCUCUUUUUUUCAUUUCCUUCUGGGUUUUACUCCAAUCUUGGGCCAUGAAAAUGCCCCUACUUUCUGAUUUUCUGCUGAUACACAGAAAAUUUCUAUCCCUUUUCUCAAGAUUUGAAAAUCAAAUUAGUUUGUAACAAUUGUAUCUUGAUCUAAAACAUAGAUCUAUAACAGUAAACACUUCCAUGUACAAAUCCUUUUCAUGUCAAUUGAAAGGAAUGAAAAUUUCAACCUUGAUUAAACAGCAAUAAAACACUACUCCCUACUUUCUGAUUUUCUGCUGGUAUAUGAAAAAUUUCUAAUCCUUUUUCUCAAGAUUUGAAAAUCAAAUCAAUUUGUAAAACUUGUAGCUUGGUCCUGAAAUAACAGUAAACACUUCCAUGUAUGAAUCCCUUGCAUGUCAAUGGAGAGGAAGAAAAAUUUUCAACCUUGUUAAAACUGGCAUAAAACAUUAUAUUAAAAAUUCAAUAAAUUACCCUAUACCUAAGAGGAAAAGAACUCUUCACGAAGAGUCUUGCCAGCAAUAUCCAAUUAGUUUUUAUUGUAGGAAAUAUUUGGCAUGAUAAUGCAGGAAACGGUUGCCUUAUGCCAAAAAUGCCUUGCAAGAAUUACACAAAGAUCUUUCCUUGUUGAAACAUUUAGAAGAAGAAAGAAAACUAUUAUGUGGGUCUCACAAAGAGAAUUGAUGCUUAACUCUUUCUCAACCAAACAUUCUAUGAUUGUUCUACCUCUAUUGUUAGAAAUAAUUUCCUGUAAUCCUUCCUGACUGCUUGUUGUUCUUUCCGUUCCCUUAAUUUUGCUUUUGAUCUGUAAAAGCCUAAGCUUAGCCUAAAUCAUAUUUUUUUUACCCAAACAUCUUCAAUUUAAUCAUCUUACAUGAGGAAAAUGGUGUCAUUCUUUUUUUUUUGUUUCCCGUUGCCCAAAAUGACAUCUUCUGCUUGCAUUUAAAUUCAUUCUGGCAGUAAUUUGUGCAUUUCUGAGGCUUUUGUAAAUUCAGAUGAAUCUUCAUUGGUAUCCUUAAAUUUCUUAAUUCUAUGAAUUGUAACUUGAGUCUAGCUAGAAAGUGUAAAAAUAUGCUAAGACAUUGCCAAUGAUAAGUGUUUAAUUUUGGAAUUAAAGAUGUCGUCCAUUAUUUUCUUCAGCAAUCUGUGUUUUUGGCAUAUGUUAUCAGUGGCUUUAACUUUCAGGUUCUUAAUGAGGCAAGUCUAUGGUGGUUCAGUAAGACUCGACAUAUUACCCCAAAUGCAGUGGUUUCUACUCCUGAUAAAAAUGUUACAAUUGCAAAAAAAUGCACAGUUUUCCCAGUUGAAUUUGUUGGUGAGACACUACUUGUUAUUCUUGUGCUCCAUUUGACACUCAUGUAUUUGACUUCUCUUUGAUCUUGUGAAGAUGGAUUAUGAAUGUUAUAUGCAUGGAAUAGCAUCUUAUAAAGAAGCAAGAUAAAGUCAAUAGCCUGAAUUUUUCAAUACAAUUAUCAUGAUGACCAUUAAGUUACUUGCCAUCAAGUUGGGGUCCAAGUUCAAAGGUAAAAAGUGACGGUAGAAAAAAGUUUGGGAAACUUAGAUGGAAGAUAAGAUAUGAAAAGUCUGCCAUAGUAGGAGAUGUAGCCCUUAAUAGGAGUAAUUGGCCAAGUACACCAUGGAACAAGCCAAAUUGAUUAUGAUCAUGGUUAGGACCUUUUGUUUCAAAUCCACAAAAACUAGCUGUGAAGCUCAUCAUUUCAUUAAGGAAGUGUCAUUUAUCCACAUAGAUUUGUGCAAAUUCUCAACAAUAAUAUUUUGUUGUCUAUCCAUUUCUUUUUUGAGGGAAUGAAAUUGCAAAUUUUCUUAAACUAUAUGGUCACCUUGAUUUGUCAUUAUGGUCAUUAGGGUCAUGAGGCUUCUUCACUACAUAUUUAUAGUUAUGGCAUAUGUUACUAUGAAAGACUGACUUGUGGUAUAAAUUAGUAACCUAAACCCCAAGUUACUUAUGCAAAUAUCACUGGACAGGGAAAUCACACAGAAGUUAUCAAUAUUGAGCAAUAUGUUUAGUCCUUUUGUCUUUUUUGUGUUUUUUCCUAAAAUUUUAAAUAAUCGACAUUUCUAUUUCUCAUUCCUUGUAUUUUUUGGUUACUCUUGUACCAUAACUAACAUUAGAUAAACUGGUGUAUGCCUGCAGUAAGAGGUUUUGUAUCUGGCAGCACUGACACAUCACUGUGGACAGUUUAUAGCAAAGGAGUAAGGAAUUAUUGUGGCAUUGUCCUUCCUGAAGGUUUGUUGAACUGAGUUUACAUAUAUAUUGUGAGCUUCAUAUUUAUAGCUAUAUUGAACUAAAGCUUAUUCUCUUUGAUAGUGCAGGUAUGGUAAAGAAUCAAAAGCUACCUGCAAAUAUACUUACACCUACAACAAAAGCGAGUGAUCACGAUGUUCCUGUGUCUCCUGAUGAGGUUUGAUUUGGUUGUUGUUUCAUAUAUUUCAAGUAAACUGACUUGCAUAAACAUAAUAUUUGAAUUUUGGGUUUUUUUGAAUUCAAUCCCUCUCAUUAUAUGGUAUUUUCUUAUUAAACUCUUCUUUCGAAUAUUUGCAAAUAAAUGCCACCUUAUUUUAGGAAUUCUCUUUGGGGGCCAACUUAAGUUUCCAUCAGCUGCUAGACAUCAAGAAUAACUUAUCAAGUUAAAAUAUCAAAAGUACCCUUAAUGGUAAUCUGUCAUCACCAGUAUCUACACUAACCACUUCUAUAACCUACCUUUACUGCUUCUGACUCAGCUUGCUUCCUCCUUUAGAGCUAAUGCCUGGUGAUUUCAUUCGUGCUUGUGCUGCCGCUGGUAGAGUUGAGCUCCUAGUCACCAUGCUUUUUGGGGCUGGGCUUCUCAUGGUAGCAAUCAUUAGGUCAACCUCCGCACCACAAGCUAUUUUGGACUCGAAUCCCAAACCUCAAGUGUGGCUGGCCUCCCUAUUGUUGACCACUUUAAAAAUAAGAUCCUUGCCAUGUUAGUUUCUAUGGUUGCGCUCUUUGCCACCAUCCUCACCAAGUUAGGCUCCUAUUGCUACCACAAUGUUGUUUUUCUCCUAAAUGUUGCUGCCACUUCCUUUGAUAGGGCUGCUUCUUACUGCUGCCGUUGUUAAGGUUAACCACCAUGUUGCCUUCAUCAUCGGGUUCAAGGCUCGCCGCAACCACCAUAGACAUUUUGCUUCUUAUUAUCAUCAUUGUUAAAACAGUGCUUCCUGCUGUCACCAUUAUUGAGUCGUGCUCCUUACUGUUGUUGUCAUUAAGGUCGAGCUCCUUGAUCUUCUUGACUUCUUCAUCCCUGUUAUCCUUGGAAGCUUGCUUAGUCUCACUGUCAUGAGAACUGAGGUCCAAAUCAUGUAAACAACUUAUUCCUCUGAAUUGUGUAUAGUUUUGUACAUAAUGCUAUGGUGAAAAUGGAUUGGAUAAUUCGAGUUUACCUGGAUAUGGGUAUCAAUGUUUAGCAUCAGACUAAUAGUUGUACCUGUAUUCGUGUCCAUCAAAUAAGAGCAGAUAAAAGAUAGCAUAUACAAAAAUAUCCAACUAGUUAUCUGAAUCCAUUUUCAGACUUAUGUUGGCUAAUAAGUUGUAACUGUCAUAUGUUUUCAACUUUACUUCAUAUGGUGAUAUCUUUAAGUUAGUGGGUUGCAUUUUCGAAUCACUAUUAAUCCGCCUUUUAACCUUAAGUUUGUAGCUCUAAAUAGUUACUUGAUCCAUUAAAUAGGUUUGUGAUUAAGUGGAUGCAGUUAUUUGUUAUUCUUUCGUGCAAUAAUUUUUGUAGAAUAGGGAAAUUUUUAUACAUCAACCUGCCUUUUUUGGUUUUUAAGAGACUUCCUAUAUUUUCCAUCUUUACAGAUUAACCAAGCCUUAAUGAGAGUGAUUUCUUUUGACAUCCUUCUGUUAGUAUAUAGGUCGCCAUAAGCAGAAGUCAGAGGUUUUCUGAGAAUCCAUAAAUGACAUAUUUGCCUUUAUAAGUGGAAUACUUUUUUCCUCUAUGCUCUGUUUUUACUUUUGAUCCAAUAUCAUCCCCCUCUUGAUUUCCUUACUGUUUAGUCCAUGGUUGAACUGUCUCCAUCCCUUCAUCAUCUUUCCUUACCAAGAGAUGGAGAGAACUUGACAAGUAUCAAGGAAUGUUGGCAAGGGAAUGUCUCCCUAGUGCUUGCAAGCCUCUUGUAACUCUAACUUGCUGGCAGCCUUGUUAAAGUGGACCGAUGGGGUAAUCUUAGCAUGAAGCAUUAUAUGAUUGGCUUCUAGGUUCAUAGACUUUGCGCGGAAGAAGUUAAGAGGACUGUUGAUCUCCAAAACCCCAUAAUUCUGUGCAAACAAGAGAAGGGCACGCAAGUUCUAGGUUCCCUAAAGAGCAAUCAGUACAAUCUAAGCAGUAAAACAACAAAGAAGUAUUAUUAUAGCCAAUCAGCAUGAACAAUCUGAUCUUUUAUAGCAAAUUUCUAGGUCCUAAGUGGGGAUCCAAAUCCUCUAGAUUCCAAGCAGAUGUUUCCCCGAGUAGACUAUGAACUAAAAAUUAGAAGUACAAAGGUAAAGAGAUGGAAAAACUUAAAAGAAGGAAGACGCAGUGCAGUUAUGUAGGAAUACCUUAAGAGAUUUAUGAUGGAUUUUGUGGCUCUUUGGUCUCUUUUCCCAGCUUUGCCACCUUUGCUACCAAUGACAUUUAUACAAUCACGUACCAUCAGUUAGGUACUAUCUAUUUCAUCUGUUGCAUCACCCCUAUCAGACCCCAAAGCCUCCCCUAGCCUUGUUGGUGCUGAUAUCAGCUCCAUCUUCUCAUCCUUGUUAGAAGACCUAUGCCAUGGCCUCCCUCUUCAUGAAGCACCCCAAGAUCCUUCCUCCAUCAAUUGGGAUUUCCAUAUCUCCCACCAUGAAUUUGUCCAUGUUGUGACAUCAAUAAUAGUUGCCACUAGCUUGUUUUGCAACACCCUCAUUGGCCUUGUUUUGAAUCUUCCCAAUGCAACCAUUGUUUGCAGCCAGGAUUUACCAAACCUAUGUGCCUUGUUGGGCAAAUGGGUACUAUAGAAGGUUUUUAAACCAUUGGAAUAGGAUUGAACUAUUGGUACUGUACUAUUCUGACAGGAUUUCGAUAUUAGAACAAACCUCGGAUCGCUGGAAGCUAGCCAGAAUGGGGCAUCCCAUCAGAGACAGGUUGGUACCGGUGGUAUAAACCCCAGUUUGGCCAGCAUGAUGCUCGUAUUGAUCAUCACGAUCGAAAUAGUUUGAUAUAGAUUGGUAUCAAUCCCAAUAUUACUUAUUUGAAGUUGUCCCAACAAAGAUGCACCAACCAAAUUUUCUUUUAAAGAGAGGGCUAUCUGGACAUUGUGAUGAUUUACACAUCUUGUGAGGGACUACAAAGCGCCUCUUUUGACCCAUUUUGCAAGAAAAAAGGAGAUAGAAAAAAGAGGAGAGAGAAGGAGAGAAAGAGGGGAAGAAGGGGAUGAGGGUUUUUCCUAUUCUCAUCAAGGAGGGGAUGCCAACAAAUCAACAAGGGAGGGAACUUUGUUCAGAUGCCCUCAUAUUUCUCUUUUUUAAUCCAAAGUUGGCAAAAAUCAAAAAAAUUGGCUGGGCUUUGACGAGUACCACGUAUAUAUCCACAACAUCAAGAGCCAUAGCUAGGUUAUUAUCCAACAUUUGAUGCCCAACAAGGAUGGGGUAUAAUGUUCCUGGUCCAGAUUACUAGCAAGACCUAGAUGUAUAUGAGAGCGAUCAACAUUCUACAAGGGAUUAAAGUUAUAAAGUGAGUUAUUAUGAUUUUCUUUUUCACAAAACUUGGUUGUAUUUUCCAUUCUUUCCUCAUAAAUUUUGUUAGUUAAUUGGUCAUUGAGUGUCGAUACUAGUAUUGAUACUUAGUUGUCAUAUACCCUUUAAAACACCCCUUAAACAUUAAAAAAAUACAAAAAAGGUCAUCUAAAUAUCUUUAUCACGGAUAAAAAAACCAAAAAAGUCAUAAAAAACUUAUCCAUCUCGGUAUGGGAUCACUACAAAUCCCUAUAGCAUGUGUCUGUACGGGAUUGUUUGAUACAGUAUUGGUUCAGCUAAAAACUAGUACCAGGCUUGAUAUCUAUACUUGAAACCUUGGUAUUAUAAUUAUAUAAACUAGGAUUAUAUUAGUCAAUGGCUUUGAUAAAAAGGAAAAAUUAAGGAUCAAAAAAAUAAUUGCCAGAUAUAAGGUUUUAGAUCCUACGGGAUGGAGGUAUCCUAGUUUCUCCAUGGAACCGGAUGCCUUGCUGUCCCGCCCUAUCCCAGGGGCAGUCCUGGUCAUGCAUAGGAGUGGCAAUCGGGUCAGGUCGAAUCAGAUACGGAUCGGGUUAAAAAUUUAUCAACCCAAACUCGACUGUUUGUUGAACAUGUCAAAAUUUCAAUUGAAUCUGACCUGUUUAUUAAACAAGAAACCUGACCCGACCCACAUAACCCAUUUGUUAAAUAGGUUAAACGAGUUAAAUGGGUCAGACAGAUUUUAAACGGGUUAAAUAGAUUUAAACAGGUUAAACAUGUUAAGUAGGUCGGGUUAAAUAGGGCAAAAACAGGUUAAGCAGGUUUCAAAUAGGUUAAACAGGUUAAACGGGUCAGGUUAUAAACCGACCCAAUUAUUAAACGGGUUAAAGGUUUAAAUCUGAACCCAACUCAUUUAAUAAAUAGGUUUUGACGGGUUGACCCAUUUGCGACCUAAACCCAUUUAUGUUAAGCCUAAACCUACUUAAAGCGGGUCAUUUACGGGUCGGGUCAUAGCUUGCCACCCCUAGCCAUGCAUCCCAGUAGAUAUCCUCUGUUUCUCUCCCCGUCUUCCUUUUCCUUCUUUGUUUCUUUCUUUUUCUUCUUUCUUUCCUUCCUUUCUUCUUUUUCUUCUACCUUCUUUUCUUUCCUUCCUUUCUUCUUUUUCUUCUACUUUCUUUUCUUUUCUUUCCUUUUCUUUCCUUUUCUUGUCCCUUCCAUUAUUUUUUUUCCUUUUUCUUCUUCUUUCUCUUUCCUUUGCUCCUUAUUUCCUUCCUUUCUUUGUUUUCUUCUUCUGUCCUUUCUUUUCUUCUUCUUCUUCUUCUUCUUCUUUCCUUUCACUUUUUCCUUUUCUCCAUCUUUCCUUCCCUUCUUUCUUUCCUCUUUCUCCUUUUCUUCCUGCAUGGAUGGGUAACCCAUUUUGGUUCCUUUUUCUCACAAGAAUGGGAUAGGACGGCUAGGAUGCCCCCUCAUCUCACUGGGACUUAAAACCUUGACCUGAUUAAUUGCUGGGCUAAUUUGUAGGAUGGAGAAAGUUAAGGGGCUUCUCAAUAAAUGGCCAUGAGAUAAAGGGUUAUCUCAAAAUUUCUCAUAAUAAUAAAACAGAGUUGAAAGAUUAUAUAUUUAAUUUGGACUAAUAAAAUAUAAAUCGGAAGAUAUUCUAUCACUAAAUUUAUAAUACUUGAUUUUUAUAUCUGUAUUGAUAUGGGUUUCUUUUCACAUUUAACCCUUCCUUUGUAGAUUAAUUGCAUAUAAAGACCUCUAUUUUAUAUGUUUUCAAAUUGAGAACUUCUUAUCCAAUGAAUUCUCUAAUAGGACCCUAACUUAAGUUUCCAUUACCAAUGGAAUAUUUAUUGUAUUCUUUAUCAUUUCUCCCCUUAGCCCAUUGGAGCUUCUAACUAGUGAGUCACACAUGCUUGUUGACCUUGUAGUCGUCAUUUUUUAGCUCUUCACUAUCACCAUUGAUCAAAUUAAGAUUUUGAUUUUAUCUUAGAUUUGGAGAUAGUAGUGUUGUGGAGCAAUUUAUUUUUUCAGUUAGAAGCUCUAGAGGGUCAAGGGACUGGAGUAAUGGAAGAAACUUGAUAUAUAUUUCACUAUGACUAAUAGAAAACUAAUUUGGGUCCUAUUGGAGAAUUUCUUGGAUAAAGGAGGUCUUAAUUUGCAGAUGUAUAAAACAAACAUGCUGCUGCUUAAUAUGUUUUUUGGUUUUUUCAUAUUUAAACACACCAAAAGAAAUUUUGUCCUAUGAAGUCCGACCUUAUUAUUCUCAUGGAUAACCCUCUUUAGUAAGGUUUUAAGUAUUGGACAGAUCACCCUCGUAAGGUUUUAAGUACUGAUCUGGAAAUCCAUAAUAGCGGCCAACCAGUAUAGGUCAUACCAGGGGUCAAUACCUGUACCGAGUGUCAAUAUGAUAUAUCUCUUGGUAUUGAUGCUUGACGUGGAGGGUGGGUUGGGGGGAGGGAAGGGGGGUAUGAGUAUCGGUUCCUUACUGGUUUGGUAUGGUAUAAACCACUACGAUCUCAGUUAUCACCCACAAAGGGUUCAUGAACUUCAAGGAAUGUGAGGUUUAGUUAUCUGAUAGCUCUGGUUAACCAUGAAAGCAUAAGUAUGCAGCUGCCUUAUUAUGGGUUAUAUAAUGCUUCAAAUGUACUAGGCACCAAUUUGUUAAUAAAAUCUAUAGGUCAACAUUAUAGAAAUCAUUGGAUGGAACCUAGCUUGUCCUUCAAAGGGGAGAAAGAAAGCUUAAUCCUACAAACUAUAUAACUGCUGCAUAGACACGGACAUGAGAGUGGUGCUUGGAUUUAUAUUCAAGCAAUUGAUUCAGCAGGAGGAGAUAAAAAGAGAUUCAAUGACACCUGGGAAAAGAUAAUUUAACUAAAUAUGAUAGUCACACAAAUGAAUUGAUUUUUCUGAUAUUUUAGAAAAAUUUCCCACCCUCUGAAAACCCCCUCAUCUGAUGGCUCUCUCCGUGCCGCCCGCCACGCAAAACCCUCCCAAAACUCUCCCGAAGACCCCCUUUCUCCCCUCCUUCUCUCGCUCCCGUCGCCUCUCCAUCGCGCGCCCCUCUCGCCCCCCUGCUUCCAACCUCGCGGUCGGCUUGAAGACCCAAAUCCGCUCCGCUCACGACACCUCCCUUCUCUCCGCCGACGCCUGCCACCGGGACGACGUCCUCCGUGCCGCCCGGGGCGCCCUCUCCAACUGCCUCUCAGAGACCCACCUCGAUCGCACGGUUCCGGGCCUCACGGCCAAGGCCAGGGGCAAGGUGAGAGACAUUUAUGAUGGUGGUGACUAUCUGGUUCUGGUCACCACCGACCGGCAGAGUGCUUUUGAUCGGGUUCUCGC